UAUACUUAACACUGUGUUUUUCUCCCCAAAAAAUAAUUAUGCCUAGUGAAUUUUUGAGAAUUUUUAUAUUAUCACAUAUGGUAAAUACUUAAUUGGAGGCAGCUGAACUGACACGAGCAAUAAUAUUCCAGAGUUUUUGGGUAUUCUCAUGUGACACCAGUAGAUUUUUUUCCCCCAAUUUAAUAGAUCAUUCCUAUUUUUUUCAUGGCAUGUUUUUGCAAAUUAUUUCUUUUACUUUUUAUUUUUCUAUCCAACAAUGUUCCUGGCAAGUUUUUUUCACGUAGCAGGCUAGCUGAUUUACUCUGCAACGUGCCACGUUGGGCAGCUGAUUGCUUGCACCUUGAAAAAUUGCAGAGUUCUGAAAAACAUUCCUUUUACUGGGCUGCUGAAUUGCAGGUGUGUGUGUCAUCUCACACCCCUGAGAUAUGGGGAGCAGAGAAUUAGUCCAGAAUUUGAGAAGCUGCCCUGCCUUCAGAGGAGAAAAACCAGUUUCCCUGGAUGCAUGCUAAAAGAAGUAGGAAGGAGGGAAGCAUGAGGGAUGGCUGAUGAAUGGAUGCAGAAGAAGCUCUGGACUCAGCAGGGCCCUGGCUGCCCAUGGUACACUGGAGACCAGCAGCAUCAGAGCCAGGAUCCCAUGGGAAAUGUUCCCUCCCCUCACCACUCUUCUCUGCACUGGUGUCAGAUGAAAAUGGCAAAACCAGGAAGUUUCUGCUGGAAAUUGAAUGAAGAUUUUUAUUAAUGUUUUCAUUAAUAAUCAUGUAUGACAUUCUGUCAAUACACAAAAAAGACACACACCUCUAUUCCCAUAGCUAAUUAUAUCAAUAUGUUAUUAUUAAUACACAGCAUCAGACACAAGCUUAAAUAUUUUACAUGGUGUGAAAUUCUAAUCUUUCUUUUCUAAUAGAAUGUGCUAAAAGCAAGCAGACCUCAUCUACCUGAAUGCAGAAUAGACAAAUGAACAAACCAGAAGCAGCAGGAAUGAGUGCCUGUACCACAUGUUCUUCAGGAAGAGGCACUGUGGUGUUGACUGUGGUAUUUACAUGCCUGUGUAGGUUACACACCUUUAAAAUAGAAAUGCUCAUGCAAGUAGGAGAAUUCAUAUCCUGAGAAAGGUGACACAGAAAUGUCUGUCUGUGAUUUAUUGAUUUGCAAUGCCAAGUAAGGUCAGCUCAGCAGCAAACAGAUAUCCUAUAUUAACUAUGCCUUUCCCUUGGGAAUACACAAGGAAAUUUCUGGUAACCAGAUAGAAAGCAUAACUUUUCAGGUUCACAUAAACUGUGGAUUAAUAUGGUCACUACAUAACUGUAUUUGCAUGAUUAAAACCACAUUUUCAAAUAUUUCUUCAAGCCAUAGAGAUCACCUGAAUAUGUAUGAAUUUGGAAUAGUCCAUAUUGCCCUCAUGGUAACUUGCCCGCUUGAUUAACCCAGAAGAGUUUACAAAUAUAUCUCAUCAUUAUAUCUCUCUGUCAGUCUUAGCAAAUGGCUUUUCAAAAAAAAAUACAGCAGGAAAAAACCCACAAACCCAAACAGACAGGAAGUACUGUGGCUAUACCUUUCUAUAGCCUGUACCCCUGCUGUCUGCUGACAGCACAAGGCAGACCAGACUCCCUUUCAAUACCUGAACCUUGGCAUUUUGUAGUUAACCACCAGGAAUGAUAUGCAGGGCAUCUGAAGGUUAGUUUGGAAGCUGGGCAAGGAGCCAAGAAACGUGUGUGGCAGCCACACCAAAACCCAUCAAUUUCACAGAUUUUCUACCCUUCCAGAGACUUGGAAAGAGUUAAAAGUGCAAGGAAUAUGGAGUGAGGUUCAAGAGCUGUUCAGAUGUAGCAGCAAUGAUCUACGUGCACCACGACACAUAACUCAACCUUUGAGUGCUGUGUUCAAAAAGAGCAAUGAAACACCCCUGGUUCCAAACACUGAGAAGGAGUAUAAAACCCAGUGUGCCAUGAGAAACAAAGCACCAUCAAGGGGAUCAGCAGAUCUAAAUGAGUUUUUCAUGGUAAUAAGUGCUGACUGACCUUGCCCAUUAACUAACUCACAUAUCUACAGCAGACACUGAAAUAUUAAAAGUGCACUAGCAAUAGGCUAAGUGGACAAAGUAAUCCUUUAGAAAGAAUUAAUUCGUAAUUUAGAAAGAAUUAAUAGUCCUCACUUAUAAAUACAACUGUUUUCCUGAAAGACAAUUUUCAGCAAUGUUCUUGAGGUAUCUAUCAGCUCAGAUCUGAACAAUACCACUGAAAAAUCAUUACACUUAUGUGGAACACCACCCCAGGCAUGGCACUUGAGUAGAACUGGACAAAAUUACCAUGCAACUGAGACACUAGCCUGUGGUUCGUUAAGUGGUUCCAACAGUAAUCUGGAGCUCUGGAGACUGGGGUUUACUCUCCUGCUUUGGAGCACAUAACCAAUGAAGUCUGAUGAGAUGACCUCAUGCAGCUGUGCCUAAACUUCCAGCCUGUAAAAUGGGAGUAUUGUUCCUUACUUCUCAGAAUGAAAAGAGAUACAUCAAGCACUUAAUUCUGUAUGCAUAGGACAAAUAAAGCUUCUGGGUGUGUACAUUUCCCCCUUUCUCUCACUUGCUACAGGGUUUUCAUCCUUUUUUGUGUGUCUCCAUGACAAAACAGGGAUGUGUAAUACCUAAUUCAAAUAACAGUUGGCACUUUAUUACAUAACUUUGCCUUUGCACUGCUUUUUCAUCCAAAAUAUCCCUUAAGGAUGUUUUUGACUAAUGUUUAUCUGCUACACAGUCAGUAAUAAGAAGACUCUGUGUAUAUAACAUGGUCAUCUUCUGACCAUUGCUUAGCUGCUACCAGUAAUCUAAAGUGAAUACAGAAAUUCACCAUUUUCAACACAAAGCCAGGUUUUCAGAUAGCACUAAGCACAUGAUUGAAGUGAGAGAGAUGUAAAAGACCAAAGAGCACACAGAAACUAGAAAUACCACAAUUGGUACAACAGAACAUUUGCUUGCUGGAAAUACUUGGCAUCUUCACAGAAUCACAGAAGGUCUGAGGUUGGCAGGGAACUGUGGAAAUCAUCCAGGCCAACCUCCCACACUCAAAGCAAAGUCUUCCACUGCAGAUUGCUCAGGACUGAGUCCACUCCAGUUCUGAGUAAGCCUGAGGAGGGAGACUCUACAACCUCUCUGAGCAACCUGCUCCAGUGUCUGAUCACAUCUACAGCAGGAAGUUUUAGUUUAAAUUUCCUGUGGUUAGCUAUCUGCAUUCUGAGUUCAGACCUGUGUCAGUAUGAUUUUUGUCAUUUUAUGUCGCAAAAAGUCUUUUAAGCCAGUUAAAACACAGGAACAUGUGCAAUAUAGUGAUAGAAGACAGCCAGCACCUUGGCAUCAGCAUUAGGGUACUACUUCUCUGAGUCAUACUUUGGUGAAUGAUUUUAGUGGGUUGACUGAAGGUUGAACUGCAGAAGGACAGCUGAUUAGUUUUGUGGUGUGUUUGUGGCAGUUUUUUAUUCAGAGGGAUAAGAAGUUGCUGGCAGAAGCAAAUUAGGUUUGAUUGAUGUCUACAUUUUUCUAGUACAUUACAAAAGCCACAAGACCUUCAAACCAUAUUAUAACUGUCCUCGGGCAGCUCUGUGGAGAGCUGUGCAAUAACAGAAAUAGCAUGACUUAAAUGCAGUAGAAGAGGGUUACAUCAUUUCAUAAAGAUGCUUCACUUAGGGUUGCUCAUUUUAUAUUUUAAAUCAAUUGUACUUCAUGCUGAAAAAUACAUCAGAACUUAACUGCUCUUUUAAAAAAGUGAUUUUUUUGAGGGCAAGGAAAGACAAAUCAUUGACUUUAAUAAAAAUGCAACCUUGAUUCUGAUCUGGAAAACAAGUCCCUAUGAAAAAAUAAUUGUGCUGAUCCUACCAAACAAUUACACAGAUGCUUCACACAGAUAGCAAGCCCCUAGAUAAUGACCUCUUUUCUCACUAUACAGAAGCAUUUCCAGGCAGUCUCAGUCCCCACAGAUUGCAACAACUCAUCACCCCAGUGUGCCUGCACACCCAUAAGAAUGGACUGAGUGCUUCUGUCAUCCUUGCAUGACAUGGAGCCAUCAUACAAACUUCAGUGUUUAUCAUAUAUUUCCUCCCAGAACACCACAACCAAAAAUAUAAAAUAAUAUAAUACCAAGACAGACUCCCUGUUGAUCUCAGAGACCUGUGCUAUUUCAGCUCUUGCUCAUCUUUGAAACAUUAAACUCUGAAGCAUCUUUUUAUGUUCUUGGAAAAGAUGUAGUACCAGGAAUGUCAUGAAAAUUUAAGCAAUUGUUCAUCCUCCUGUUGUCAUUAAGAAUUUUAUAUAGAAGCUAUCAUUAUUUUUCUUUGCUUAACACUUCUCUCAUUUCUUCUGCUCUUCACUGAGCCACUAAUAAUCACCUCACCCUAUUCUCUUUUUCUGCUUCGUCUCCCUUCUUAUGCAAGACAGGUUUGUUUUAAUAAAUCUUUUUAUUUCUAUACAUAAUGUCAUAACUGUGAUCUUCCCCAUAGUAGUUUACUGGUCCUAAACUCCUUCCAUUUUGGUGUUCAUAGGUUUCUGAUAUAGCAAUACCCUGGGGAAAAAUGCAAUUUUCCAAACAGAGCCAUAUUGGAGCCAAGUCAACAUAAAUUAUUAAUUCCUAUUCUAUAAUACAUGUAUCCACAGUACUACUCAAAAUUCUUCUGACUAUUUGUGCUGCAUUGUUCCAAAUUUCAACCCCCCCUCCCUUUUCUAAUAACUCCUUCUCUGCACAACUGGUUUACAGAUUUCUUGUGUUAUUUGGAUUAUUUUUCCUAAAACAGUUUUAUUUCAUGUGUCUGAGUUGCAUUCUAACCUUCCUAUCACCUCUCUAACAUCUUUAGCCUUAUCUUCUAAAAAUGAACAGGAGCCUUUCUGUAAACUCUUCAAGCACAGAGUCUGAUUUAAUUCCAUUUGCACUCGUUCUGCAUGCAACCAUGCAUGAUCAAGACCACCAGACAAUUGUAUGAUCACAAAUCAUAUCUAGGGUGGACCUAUCAUGUGGAUAAUUACUCUCCAGAUCAAUAGUUUUUGAUCUCACACUGCUAUCAGUAAACUUUCUUGAAUAUGCCUCCCAUAUAUUUACAUUUUUAAAUAAUGUAUAUGUGCUACUUUACUAACAUAUUAUUUACAUUAUGAAA